rnacentral:rRNA from 1 species
AACCUUUACAAUGCGCGAAAGCGUGAUAAGGGAACCCUAAGUGCUUUGCUUUUGCAAGGCUUUUGUCAUGGGCAAAAACUAUGGCGAAUAAGUGGUGGGUAAGACUGGUGCCAGCCGCCGCGGUAAUCCCAGCGCCACAAGUGGCAAUCGAUAUUAUUGGGCCUAAAGCGUUCGUAGCCGGUUUAGCAAGUCCUUUGUGAAAUCGUUAUGCUUAACAUAACGGCGUGCAAAGGAUACUGCUGAACUUGAGACUGGGAGGGGUCAGAGGUAUGCUCUGGGGAGCGGUAAAAUGCUAUAAUCCAGAGUAGACCACCCGUGGCGAAGGCGUCUGACUAGAACAGUUCUGACGGUGAGGAACGAAAGCUAGGGGAGCGAUCCGGAUUAGAUACCCGAGUAGUCCUAGCUGUAAACGCUGCGAGCAAGGUGUUGCAUAUCCAUUAGGGUAUGCAGUGUCGAAAUGAAGAUGUUAAGCUCGCCGCCUGGGAAGUAUGGUCGCAAGGCUGAAACUUAAAGGAAUUGGCGGGGGAGCACCACAAGGGGUGCGGCGUGCGGUUUAAUCUAACUCAACACAGAGAAUCUCACCAGCAGCGACGGCAGAAUGAAGGUCAGAUUGAAGGUUUUACCAGACAAGCCGAGAGGUAGUGCAUGGCCGUCGUCAGCUCGUGCCGUAGGGUGUCAUGUUAAGUCAUGCAACGAGCGAGACCUGCAUCUACAAUUGCCAGCGACUCUUUUGAGAGGAUCGGGCACAUUGUGGAGACUGCCUUCGAAAGAAGGAGGAAGGCGCAGGCUACGGUAGGUCUGUAUGCUCCGAAUCUGCUGGGCUACACGCGCGCAACAAUGGUAAGGACAAUGGGAUGCAACUCCGAAAGGAGAAGCUAAUCCUCCAAACCUUAUCUUAGUCCAGAUUGAGGACUGUAACUCGUCCUCAUGACGAUGGAAUCCCUAGUAACCAGAGGUUAUCAGCCUCUAGUGAAUAUGUCCCUG